GACGAACGCUGGCGGCGUGCUUAACACAUGCAAGUCGAGCGGUAAGGCCCUUUCGGGGGUACACGAGCGGCGAACGGGUGAGUAACACGUGGGUGACCUGCCCUCAGCUCUGGGAUAAGCCUGGGAAACCGGGUCUAAUACUGGAUAUGACUCCAUGACGCAUGUUGUGGGUGGAAAGCCUUGUGCGGCUGAGGAUGGGCCCGCGGCCUAUCAGCUUGUUGGUGGGGUGANGGCCUACCAAGGCGACGACGGGUAGCCGGCCUGAGAGGGCGACCGGCCACACUGGGACUGAGACACGGCCCAGACUCCUACGGGAGGCAGCAGUGGGAAUCUUGCGCAAUGGGCGAAAGCCUGACGCAGCGACGCCGCGUGAGGGAUGA
rnacentral:rRNA from 1 species